CAACAGUUUCUCUAUAACUGUGAUCAGUAUUUUGUGUCUCCUUCACAAUAUUCCUCAGAUUACCUGACUUGCACAGCAGAAGGAUGGUCUCCAGAAGAACCAUGCCUCAGAGAAUGUAUUUUCCAUAAUUUGGAAAAUGGAUAUAACCCAAGUAGUG